UACGGGGGGUGCAAGCGUUGUUCGGAAUCACUGGGUGUAAAGGGUGUGUAGGCGGGUCGGUAAGUCGGAUGUGAAAACUCCCAGCUUAACUGGGAGCUGGCAUUCGAAACUGCCGGUCUUGAGUAAGGGAGAGGAAGAUGGAAUUCCCGGUGUAGCGGUGAAAUGCGUAGAUACCGGGAGGAACACCGGUGGCGAAGGCGGUCUUCUGGCCCUUCACUGACGCUGAAACACGAAGGCUAGGGUAGCAAACAGG
rnacentral:rRNA from 1 species